GUUUCUUGGUUUGCCCAUCUUCAGGAAUCAUGGCUAGGAAACAUGGCGAAGAAACAAUGUUUCUUAGUUUGUCCUCUUUUAAGAACCAUAGCUAUAGGAAACGUGCAUAUAUAUUGUUUCUUGGUUCGCCCACCUUUAUUAAGAAACAUGUGUAUAGGAAAUAACGUUUCCUGGUUUGUCAUCUUUUGGAAACCUGGCAAGGAAAUAAUGUUUCCUGGUUUGCCCACUUUGUUUGGGUUACAUGGUUAGGAAGCAAUGUUUCCCACAACAACAAGUUUGAAUUUUAUUACCUUCCAGAAUAAUGGUGCACUUGUCACCAACAACGGAGCAAGGAUAAGGAGAAAACAAAACGCGUAAAUCUUCAUUGGUGACAUGCUUCCUUUCGAUUCUUAAUGUAAAGUUUUAACUCUGUGCAAAGCGUAUCUGACUGGAUAUUGCCUGAUUACGCGUUCUUUUAUUUAUAGCUCACAACACUUACUUCUAUUGCGAU